UACGGGGGGUGCGAGCGUUGUCCGGAAUCACUGGGCGUAAAGGGCGCGUAGGUGGUUUGAUAAGGGUGUGGUGAAAGUCCGGAGCUCAACUCCGGAUCUGCCGUGCCGACUGUCAAACUCGAGGGCUGUAGAGGCAGACGGGAUUCCGGGUGUAGCGGUGGAAUGCGUAGAGAUCCGGAGGAACACCGGUGGCGAAGGCGGUCUGCUGGGGUCGAACUGACGCUGAGGCGCGACAGCGUGGGGAGCAAACAGG
rnacentral:rRNA from 1 species